rnacentral:tRNA from 1 species
UGGCUCAGUCAGUAGAGCGUCCGCCUCACAACCGGGAGGUCGUGGGUUCAAACCCUGC